AUGUCUGGAACCUUGGUGAGAGCCGAGGGUGCCUUCGGGAGCCAGAACACAGGUGCUGCAUGGGCUGUCGUCAGCUCGUGUCGUGAGAUGUUGGGUUAAGUCCCGCAACGAGCGCAACCCUUGUCACUAGUUGCCAUCAUCUGGUUGGGCACUCUAGUGAGACUGCCGGUGACAAACCGGAGGAAGGUGGGGAUGACGUCAAGUCCUCAUGGCCUUUAUGACCAGGGCUACACACGUACUACAAUGGUUGGUACAACGAGUUGCGAGUCGGUGACGGCGAGCUAAUCUCUUAAAGCCAAUCUCAGUUCGGAUUGUAGGCUGCAACUCGCCUACAUGAAGUCGGAAUCGCUAGUAAUCGCGGAUCAGCACGCCCGCGGUCGAAUACGUUCCCGGGCCUU
rnacentral:rRNA from 1 species